AGAGUUUGAUCCUGGCUCAGAAUCAACGCUGGCGGCGCGCUUAACACAUGCAAGUCGAACGAGAAAGUCCCUGAGUAAAGUGGCGUACGGGUGAGUAACACGUGGGUAAUCUACCUCUGGGUGGGGAAUAACCCUGGGAAACCGGGGCUAAUACCGCAUACGCUCGGGAGAGGAAAGGCGCAAGUCGCCUGGAGAGGAGCCCGCGGCCGAUUAGCUAGUUGGUAGGGUAAAAGCCUACCAAGGCAAAGAUCGGUAGCCGGCCUGAGAGGGCACACGGCCACACUGGCACUGAAAUACGGGCCAGACUCCUACGGGAGGCAGCAGGAAGGAAUUUUGGACAAUGGGGGAAACCCUGAUCCAGCAACGCCGCGUGGGCGAUGAAGGUCUUCGGAUCGUAAAGCCCUUUUCUUGGGAAGAGGCAGGACGGUACCACAGGAAUAAGUCUCGGCUAACUACGUGCCAGCAGCCGCGGUAAAACGUAGGAGGCUAGCGUUAUCCGGAUUUACUGGGCGUAAAGCGCAUGCAGGCGGCAUGGCAAGUUGGGCGUGAAAUCUCUCGGCUUAACCGGGAGGUGUCGUCCAAUACUGCUGAGCUUGGGUGCAGGAGAGGGAAGCGGAAUUUCCAGUGUAGCGGUAAUAUGCGCAGAUAUUGGAAAGAACACCAGUGGCGAAAGCGGCUUCCUGGCCUGUAACCGACGCUAGAUGCGAAAGCUAGGGGAGCGAACGGGAUUAGAUACCCCGGUAGUCCUAGCUGUAAACGAUG
rnacentral:rRNA from 1 species